rnacentral:rRNA from 1 species
UACGGAGGGGGCAAGCGUUGUCCGGAUUCAUUGGGUUUAAAGGGUGCACAGGCGGGCCAUUAAGUCAGGGGGGAAAGACGGUUGCUCAACAAUCGCAGUGCCUUUGAUACUGGUGGUCUUGGGUAACCUUGAGGUAGGCGGAAUGGGUGGUGUAGCGGUGAAAUGCAUAGAUACCACCCAGAACUCCGAUUGCGAAGGCAGCCUACUGGAGGUUUACCGACGCUCAGGCACGAAAGCGUGGGGAUCAAACAGG